CAGCAUCUCCCGUGAGUCGGGACACGGCUCGGACAGACACCUCCAGGAUCAAAAGGCCAAGGGUGAUGUGCCCUGGCAUUUUUAAGAAUAAAAUGAGGGAGGAUGAUGCUCCACUGACAAAACAGGACCUGUUAUUGGGAAGGAACUGAAACAAACAUGAGACAAAACAAACA